rnacentral:rRNA from 1 species
GUAACACGUAGUCAACAUGCCCAGAGGACGUGGAUAACCUCGGGAAACUGAGGAUAAACCGCGAUAGGUCAUAACUACUGGAAUGUGUUAUGGCCGAAAUCUACAUGGCCUCUGGAUUGGACUGCGGCCGAUCAGGCUGUUGGUGAGGUAAUGGCCCACCAAACCUGUUACCGGUACGGGCUCUGAGAGGAGGAGCCCGGAGAUGGGCACUGAGACAAGGGCCCAGGCCCUAUGGGGCGCAGCAGGCGCGAAACCUCUGCAAUAGGCGAAAGCUUGACAGGGUUACUCUGAGUGAUUCCCGCUAAGGGAAUCUUUUGGCAUCUCUAAAAAUGGUGCAGAAUAAGGGGUGGGCAAGUCUGGUGCCAGCAGCCGCGGUAAAUAC